rnacentral:tRNA from 1 species
GGAUAGCUAGUUUAAUGGUAAAAUCUUGGACUCAUGAUCCGAUGUAUGUGCGUUCGAUUCGCACGUUAUCUU